rnacentral:pre_miRNA from 1 species
GGCGGAGAAACAGGGUCACAGAAGCUGGUCUGAGAUGUUCGAAAGGAGGUUGUCCGUGAUGUAUUUGCUUUGUUUGUGGCAGAUAUUGCACGGUUGAUCUCUUUUCAUCAUCAAAUGCCUUCUCGAAGGACUUGCUGCGCGGU